CCGGAUGAAAGCAGUCUGAAACACUUCUUAGAAUAGAAGGACCGACGCGGAAAGCUGGAGCAAAGAGCGUUUGCUUCAAGGAAACUGACAGGUACAAAAAAGGUUGCUGGACGGAACUCUGGAAAGACUAUCUUUUGAUGGAGCCAAUGAGGCGAUAACCAACUGGCAAAAAGACAGAGGA
ncrna:unclassified sequences glycine-GGAnGA riboswitch